GAUCCUGGCUCAGGAUGAACGCUGGCGGCGUGCCUAACACAUGCAAGUCGAACGAAGCACUUUGAUUUGAUUCUUCGGAUGAAGAUCAUUGUGACUGAGUGGCGGACGGGUGAGUAACGCGUGGGUAACCGUGCCUCAUACAGGGGGAUAACAGUUAGAAAUGACUGCUAAUACCGCAUAAGACCACGGAGUCGCAUGACUCAGUGGGAAAAACUUCGGUGGU
rnacentral:rRNA from 1 species